rnacentral:rRNA from 1 species
AAUAUUAGUCAAUGCUCGCAAGAGUGAACUAGCUAACUGAAAUCACAGGAUCCAUUACGUGUGGUGAAUGUAAUAACGUAAGGGAAAAAAAAUGAUAUUACCUUACUAUUAGUGUUGUCCAAAACUGGUGCCAGAAGACUCGGUAAGGCCAGAGACGCAAACGUUAGUCGUCCUAAUCAGGCGUAAAGGGUAUGUAGGCUGCUUUAAAAAUAUUAUAUUUAAUAGCUCUGUAUAAAUAAUUUAUUUUUAUUUAAUAAAAAAACAAAAAUUUCUAUCUUUAAACAGUAAAUAUAAAAUGAAUUAAAGCUAGAAUCAAAUUGAGGAUAAGUCAAAUAAUACUUAGUGUAGGGUUUAAAUCUGGUGAUAUUAGGUGGAGUACUAAAGGUGAAAGCUUUUUAUCUAUAAAUGAUUGACGCUGAGAAACGAAGGUGAGAAAAGAAAAUAGGAUUAGAUACCCAGAUAUCUCUCACAGUCAACGAUGAAUGGUGGUUGUUAGUUUAAUAUGACUGAUAACGAUGUUAACACGAUAACCAUUCCGCCUUGCGAGUACGGUUGCAAAACUGAAACCAAAAAAAUUAGUCGGUCUCGAAGCAAACGAAGUGAAGCAUGUUAUUUAAUUCGA